rnacentral:lncRNA from 1 species
GUGACACUAGACAAAGAAGCUCAUAUGAUCAAGAUGAAGGGAGAAGGCCGGACGAUGAGAGGGGAGUGAACCCUGGGCGUAAUGGUUCCACACCAAGAGAAGUUCUGAAGGUCAAGGUCCAGAAGCCAAGAUUCAGCUGGGCAGGCUGCAUCUCUACAAGGCAGCCUCAGAUGUUCAUUGUCAAAUGGAUGAACUGGGAAGAGAGAGAGAGAGAUGAGGGGUCGUUGUCCUUCCAUGUCCCUUCCAGCCUCAGCCUCAGGAGUGGCCCCAGUUUGCUGAUAUCACAGGAGAUCUGCUAUUUGAUCAUUUUGCCUGCCAACUUGGAUGUCUGUCUCAGCAGGAAACCAUUUAAAGAAAAUAAAUGAAUUCUCAGCACUUGACAUUUUCUGGAGGACCUGAGUCCUUUCCAAGUGAGCUCAUAUCAAGCACAGUUGGUAAGACAGAGACGGGAAAAUGUGCUUUCUCCCUGUUAAGAGGACAGCCUCGCUGAAGCAUCUUGGGCAGGGCAGUAUUAAGUGACUUUUCCUUGUUGAUGAGGGGUCCUCUCACCUUUGGGAGAGAGGUGGCCCUCCACCCUGGAGGGGCUGCAGGAAGUGGAAGCAGGUUCCAUAGCUGGGGGGUGUUAC